GAUGAAGAACGCAGCGAAAUGCGAUAAGUAAUGUGAAUUGCAGAAUUCAGUGAAUCAUCGAAUCUUUGAACGCACAUUGCGCCCGCCAGUAUUCUGGCGGGCAUGCCUGUUCGAGCGUCAUUUCAACCAUCAAGCCCCAGGCUUGUGUUGGGGACCUGCGGCUGCCGCAGGCCCUGAAAACCAGUGGCGGGCUCGCUGUCACACCGGGCGUAGUAGAUUUUAUCUCGCUCAGGGCGUGCUGCGGGUUCCGGCCGUUAAAAAGCCUUUUUUACCCAAGGUUGACCUCGGAUCAGGUAGGAAGACCCGCUGAACUUAAGCAUAUCAAUAAGCCGGAGGA
rnacentral:misc_RNA from 1 species